AAUUUAUGUACAUUUAUGGCUUUAUACAAUUAUAGCAAAGAUUGUUCUUGUGUCUGUAAGUACAUCAACAUCAUCAGGCACUUCUCAGAGAGUAUCGGAGAACAGGAACGUGGAAUCUGCACUGUUACUAAACUCGGGUAGCAAAAUGCAGGAGGCAUGACUACAUCCUGAUGGGACUUACAUGGCCAUCCCUGAGGUGCCAGGCUGUGCCCACCUCAAGGAGAGGCCAACUGUAAUGCCAGGCUGGUCUGUUCGCAUAAACCACAAUGCUUUUUUUUUUUUAAUGAAUGAUUAUUCCCAAACUAAAACCAGAAAAGAAACUUCUCUUUUAAAAUUAGUUAUAAAUUAAGAACUCUUAAGAGCUUGAAUGUAAGAAUUUUAAGUUGGGGCUGGGGUUAAUUGGUAGCAUAUAUCCAGCAGUUGAACAAGUCCAAUUUGUAUAUCGUUGGAGAAUGAUUUCCAUUUUAAGUGUCCUUAUCCUCUUCUUGGGAUGUUCCAUUGAUUUACUUCUCACUGGGAUACAUUUGCUCAUUAAUUUAGACUUUGUCAGUUUGUCAAAGCAGAACUUUCCAAGUAAUACAUCUAUUACCUAAAUAUAUUCCAUACGUCUAUAUUACGGAAACAAUACAUCUUUAUAUUUAAAAUAUCUGAAUAGCUCUAUAAUACAAUAUGCUUUUAAUAACAGUACAAACCAGAGAAAAUAAAUCAAACAAGGCUGCAUAGGUGAUAUCAUUUGCACAUUUCACAAAGCAAUCAUGUACAAUAACUGAUAUAUACUCAUUACUCCAGAAAGUCAGUAUUCUUACAGGAAAAAAAACUACCAGAGGCCACAUAAUGUUUGCUUUCCAGACAGACCAGAUGCUUUUCCCUGGACCUCACUGUUGUCAGAGAGCUACCCAGGAUUCAUGUCAGGAUUUCAACACACAAUGGCGGCUUGGGGGAGGUGUGAUUACCCAGACUCAGGAGGAAGAAACAUUUUCCUAAGAGCUACUCUAUGAAGUAAGAUUUUAACAGUGAUUUUAAGUGUAGUUGUCUCUUCAAUGAACAAAUGGGGGCUCUGAGGUUCCUUGUAUUAUGGUGCAGUAAUGGCAUGGGAGGAAAGUGACAGUAUGUAGUAAUAGAAAUGAGUACACAAGUACUUUGGCACCAAGUUCAAUUACACACCCAGGAGGCCGUGCUUAGAGGAACUCGGGUUUCUAAACCCAGCUAUGUCUUGGAGUGCCCAAAAAUGAGGAUGGUUAGAGUGGUGGUUGUUCAAUGAAUCUUCAAAAAAAAAGAUCACAGUGGGAAGCUUACAAUCGAGCUGGCUUACUGUAGGUAAUCUGAUCAGGAACACUUGUGUUCUUGUUAAACAUUUAGGAACUACUAAGCCAAAGAAGAUGCAAUUAACAUACAAGACAAAGCAAGUGUGAUGUGGACUAUAUACAGAAAAAUUAGAUCCUUCUCAAGAACGCAAGAGGAACAGUGCUCUGCACCUGUUCUCUUCAUUGUGAUGACUUUGGGCUUUCCACAUGACUUGAAAAUACUGAUGGACUGAAUAGGACACAAAGCCAAUUAAUUUGGUCUGUCAGUUACAGGUAAUUGGGAAGUAAUAAAACCAUAAUGAUAGAAAUUACAGUUUAGGUUGCUACAGGCUAAAGACAUUUUUGAGUUCUUAAGCCAAGGCUUUUAACAUAAUCUCAAUGCACAACUUACAGCUGGAAGUUUUCAAAUAAAUCUCCCCAAUUUUUAAGUAAGUUCUAUUCCAUUUGCUACCCAUCUGAACUUAUGAACACAAACUCUACAAACCACACAAGUCCCAUUUUUAAAUUCCCUCAUUCCACUUGAACUUCCACAGUGUGCUAAGUAACCUAAUCUGCAGCAGAAGGGAGAAUGGGAAGAAGUUUGAGUGUUGACAUAAUUCCUCAAGGCAGAACUACAAAACCAACCUCCACCUGGACUGAAAUACGAGCAAAGAAUUACGAGGGGAAACUUUUGCUAAAGCUCAACUCAAAAUGGUAAAGUGGAUCAAAAUCCCUUGUUUGACAAAGGACCAUUGCUUUAGAUGCAGAUCUCCCUUUUCUGAUCUGCAAACAUUAUGAGGCCUCCCAGGACUACAGAGGUCUCUAGAGAACACUUGUUGCUAUGCAGUGCGCAUAGUUCAGUAGAAGCAGAUGAAAUUUCUUUAAAAUACAUACAUAAAAACAUAUUAAGUUAUCCUAAAUAUGAAACGCAAAGUGUCCAUAACUAUACAUCACUUUCCUGCCCAAAUAGGGCCUGAAACGUUGAGUAUGCAAGUACUAAUUACAAUGAUUUAAGAUUAGUCAGAAACAUCACUAAGUAGCAUCCCAAAGUGUACAAACCAGUUAAGCACGUAUAAAAUUAGUACUAAUCCAGUUAGAAUACAAAAUGAAAAUUAUGAAUGCUGCCCCAAAUACCUGUGGUUCCACAAAAUUUACAAGCCGACUAUGUAACAAAGUAGACUCUAGUUUUAAGAAAACAUUAUUACAGUUCAAUAUCUAUUCCAAAAAUGUUCUUAAGUCCCACCAAUAACGUCAAAAAUCAUUUAUC
ensembl:lncRNA